UGCAAGUAGAACGCUGAGAACUGGUGCUUGCACCGGUUCAAGGAGUUGCGAACGGGUGAGUAACGCGUAGGUAACCUACCUCAUAGCGGGGGAUAACUAUUGGAAACGAUAGCUAAUACCGCAUAAGAGAGACUAACGCAUGUUAGUAAUUUAAAAGGGGCAAUUGCUCCACUAUGAGAUGGACCUGCGUUGUAUUAGCUAGUUGGUGAGGUAAAGGCUCACCAAGGCGACGAUACAUAGCCGACCUGAGAGGGUGAUCGGCCACACUGGGACUGAGACACGGCCCAGACUCCUACGGGAGGCAGCAGUAGGGAAUCUUCGGCAAUGGGGGCAACCCUGACCGAGCAACGCCGCGUGAGUGAAGAAGGUUUUCGGAUCGUAAAGCUCUGUUGUUAGAGAAGAAUGAUGGUGGGAGUGGAAAAUCCACCAAGUGACGGUAACUAACCAGAAAGGGACGGCUAACUACGUGCCAGCAGCCGCGGUAAUACGUAGGUCCCGAGCGUUGUCCGGAUUUAUUGGGCGUAAAGCGAGCGCAGGCGGUUUUUUAAGUCUGAAGUUAAAGGCAUUGGCUCAACCAAUGUACGCUUUGGAAACUGGAGAACUUGAGUGCAGAAGGGGAGAGUGGAAUUCCAUGUGUAGCGGUGAAAUGCGUAGAUAUAUG
rnacentral:rRNA from 1 species